rnacentral:rRNA from 1 species
UGCUAAGGUAGCAUAAUCACUUGUUUCUUAAUUGGUAACUGGAAUGAAAGGUUGAACUGGCCUAGCGAGUAUGUAGGUUUAAAUAGAAAAUUAAAGUCUGGGUAAUAAUUCUUAGAUAUUUUAGGGGACGAUAAGACCCUAUAAGCUUGAUAAAUUUACAAUUGAUUUUGUACUUCAAGUUAGUUUGUUUUACUGGGGUGGUACUGGUACUUUAACUAUCAGGUAAGUUAAGAUCCUUUAAAUAAAGAUGAGACGGAUAAGUUACUUUAGGGAUAACAGUGCAAUAUUUUUGGAGAGAUCUUAUCGAUAGGUAUGUUUGCAACCUCGAUGUUGAAUUA